rnacentral:misc_RNA from 1 species
GAUGAAGAACGUAGCGAAGUGCGAUAAGUAAUGUGAAUUGCAGAAUUCCGUGAAUCAUCGAAUCUUUGAACGCAAAUUGCACUCUCUGGUAACCCGGGGAGUAUGCCUGUUUGAGGGUCAGUGUUAAUAAAAUCGGUGCGUUGCAUUUUGUGACGUUCCGGAGUUUGAGUUAUCUUAACUUUUGGGUUUAAGAGGCUUAAAAUUGACCUUUUUUGUGCAUUUUAGACGUACAAUAAAUUAUUUUUAUUUGUCUAUCUUAAAGCCAAAAUCUAUUAGAUGCGACCAUGUCUUAUGGUUUCGUGUCUAUAAAUUUUUCAUGAUCUGACCUCAAAUCAGGUAGGAACACCCGCUGAACUUAAGCAUAUCAAUAAGCGGAGGA